rnacentral:lncRNA from 1 species
GUGUAUACAGGCUGCUGAGGUGCCCCUUUACCAGAUUUUUACUGAGGCAUGACAUUCUGGGGCCCCAGUUCAACUAUUUUCCAUGGUGGGACAUGCUCAACGAGACCCUUAA